rnacentral:rRNA from 1 species
AUUGAACGCUAGCGGGAUGCUUUACACAUGCAAGUCGAACGGCAGCGCGAGAAAGCUCGCUUUCUUGGCGGCGAGUGGCGAACGGGUGAGUAAUGUAUCGGAACGUGCCCAGUAGCGGGGGAUAACUGGCCGAAAGGUCAGCUAAUACCGCAUACGCCCUACGGGGGAAAGGGGGGGAUCGCAAGACCUCUCACUAUUGGAGCGGCCGAUAUCGGAUUAGCUAGUUGGUGGGGUAAAGGCCUACCAAGGCGACGAUCCGUAGCUGGUUUGAGAGGACGACCAGCCACACUGGGACAGAGACACGGCCCAGACUCCUACGGGAGGCAGCAGUGGGGAAUUUUGGACAAUGGGGGAAACCCUGAUCCAGCCAUCCCGCGUGUGCGAUGAAGGCCUUCGGGUUGUAAAGCACUUUUGGCAGGGAAGAAACAGCCUGGGCUAAUAUCCCGGGCGACUGACGGUACCUGCAGAAUAAGCACCGGCUAACUACGUGCCAGCCGCCGCCGUAACAC